GAACCUGCCGUGUCUGCUACGGCACCGCAGGGCUGCAGAAACCCGGGGGCCAAGGGCGGGCUGCUUGCCGCUAUGGCUGGCAGUCAGGACAUAUUCGAUGCCAUCGUGAUGGCGGAUGAGAGGUUUCAUGGGGAAGGGUAUCGGGAAGGCUAUGAAGAAGGCAGUAGUUUGGGUGUGAUGGAGGGAAGGCAGCAUGGCACGCUGCAUGGAGCCAAAAUCGGGUCUGAGGUAAGUGGGAACCCCCAUCUGGAGAUGAAGCCUCUUCAUUUACAAUUUAUAAUUUAUUUCGAUAUUCAGUGUGAUGGAGUAAGAAUUGUCAGGCCUUUUAAAAUCACAGUGCCGGAUGGGCGCUGUGACUCACACCUGUAAUCCCAGCACUUUGGGAGUCUGAGGUGGGCGGAUCGCCUUGAGGUCAGGAGUUGGAGACCAGCCUGACCGACAUGGUGAAACACUGUCUCUACUGAAAAUACUGAAUUAGCUGGGCAUGGUGGUUUAUGCCUGUAAUCCCAGCCACUUGGGAGGCUGAGGUAUGAGACUCGCUUGAACCUGGGAGGCGGAGGUUGUGGUGAGCCGG
rnacentral:sRNA from 1 species